GAAAGGCUAUUUGGCGCCCUAGGCGAGAUGUUCUCAGCGCGCCCUUCCGGAGGUUAUUCCUAGGUACCAGUACCAGGCAAAAAAUAGAAAGUGGCGUUCAUAAAUACUUUAUUGUGUUUUCUUCAAAUACAUAAUAACAUAACGACAUAACGUGUAGGCGGUGUAGGUAUACAAAAACGCAUAUCCAAAGAUAUUAGGGAAGGGAUAUACACAUAAAAAAUCAAAAAUUCAUCUUCCUUGCCUUAUUUCUCGCGAACUGCUGGACUAUCUGUUCUAAAUUUACAUUCCAUGCCUCCCUCGAUUCAAUUGAGAUCAUUGCCAAGUCCACGAGCCUAUUCUGAGACAUUGUUGACCGCAAAAAUUUCUUUAUCAGCUUUAGCUUGGAGAAACUGCGUUCUCCGCUGACCACCGACACUGGAAGCGUCAUUAAAAAGUACCGGGAAGUUUUUUGGAGCCGCCGACGCGCUGUCGUUGAAAGAUGUUGCUUAAUUUUGGCGCCCUCUGAAGCUUGGCGCCCCAGGCAGCCGCCUAUGUUCGCCUUGUGGUUAAACCGGCCCUGCCUGUGCGGUGUUGAUCGUAGUCCUCGGGUGUUUAAAAUAAUGAAUAAUGGUGGAAGAGAAGGUUUUAAGCCGAUUCAAACGUCAGAACCAAUUUAAAACCGUAUACACCUACACAAUUUGUAAUAAUUGCAAAUUGAUGUUUACCGACUUCAAACUAUUUUGCACGAUAAUAUUGAAAAUUGUAAGGUGAAAACAUUGAAGAACCAUUCCACACUGAAAUCAAAGAACGUUUAACCAGUUGGAAGUGGUUGGUGUACAGAAAGUACAACCAAUGAAACAGAAACUGUGACAUUCAGUGGACAAUCUAUGCCUAUGCCAGCAUCGCCUCAUGACGGUCAAUGUAUUACAUUGAAUCAAGCCAAAGAGAUGCAAAGUGAAGCUAUUGUUAAGGGGUUAAUCAAGAAAGUCAGAGUUCCUUCAGCGUAAAUCGACACCAAACAAUAAACUUCCAGUAAAUAAAGUUUUAUUCCGAAGUAGGUACUUAUAUCAAAUUUGGAAGAUGGCAGAACCUGAGGGAUCUCGA